AUCAGCUGUUGUGCCCUGAAUGCUGCUGUGGGGCAGGUUCUAGGAGGGUUAGGGGUGUGCUGAUGACGAUCACGUCCUUGUCCUUCAAGAGCUCCCAACUGAGCUGUCAAGCCAGACACUAUGUAAAUAACUGCCAGGUGAGCUGCACUGAGGAAAGGAGCUCUUCCAGCUGGGGUGGUCAGUAAAGUCAUCACAGAGGGAUGGGACUUGAGGAAAUGGGGUCCCCAAGGUUGGUAGGUGAGAUGACAUAAACAAUGGCACAGAGGCCAGCAGGCACGAGCUGGAGGCAGCAACACAGAACAUGGGCCACUUCCACACCACCCCCGCCCUAGGGUAUCUUCCUGCCAUCAAACCUCAGUUUCAUUGCGAUCCACAUCUUCCAUUCUCCCCACUCCCCCUAGCCACCAAUACUUCUCACAAACGUGGAAGCCCUCUAUUCUAGAACACCGGAGAA
rnacentral:lncRNA from 1 species